UAGCCGUUUAUCUAUCGCCAACGUAUUCUCAGAAUCAUCUCUCUCUGGCAGCUCAGUCACAAGAAAACCUACACGACACAGAAGAACAGUGGGCAAUUUCAUUAUUGCCCUGUGAACUGUGAUGAGAAUAAUCGUGUUAGCUCUAAAGGGAAAUGGACGGUCUUGCUCUCGCCACCACAGCCACUUCCGGCAAACCCUUCUUCACUGGCCGAACUCGCCUUUUUUCGUUUUCAUCAGAGAGAAGAAGUGCAAUCAGAAUCUUUUAUUCCAAUAAAAGAUCAAAUACCUUCACAGUUCGUGCCUCACGGGAUGAGGCCCCGAAGCUUGACAGGUUCGACCAGAUGGAACUAAAGUUCGGGCGCUUAAUUGGCGAGGACCCCAAGCUAACCCUAGCCAAGAUAAUGGGAAGAAAGGCGAACCCGGAAGCUUCUUAUCUCGAUAUUGAGAAAUCCUUUUAUAAGAAUAAAGGUAAACUCGUUGAGGUAGAGGAAGUUCCAUUUGAGGGGUCUAAGAGGAAAUCUUCAGGUUCGUUGGAUGAUUUGGGUUUAGUACGACCUGUCCCAGUGAAAGGAACAAACUUCAAAUCUGAGGAUAACAAAACCUCAUCCGAGAUUAAGAAACCAAGCAAACCAGCAAGUAAGGCAGUGAAUGUAACAAAAAGUAGUGUACCAAAUGUUAUCUUAAGAAAGCCAACUGUUUAUAAGGAGGAUGGCAAUGAAGACACUUCAUCAAAGUUGAGAAUAAAACCAAAUCUGUCUCUGAAAAUGCGGAAUGGACAAUCAAAGGACAAGUUUAGCAAUAUGACACUAUUGAGGAAGCCUGAACCAUCAAUUGCAAAGGAGAAUGAUCUGAAGCAAGAGCCUUCUGCUCUUAUGAAUGCCCAAAUGACCAAUGAUAAUGAUUUGAACAUGAGAAAAGAAGAACCGGAUAAUAGGACAUUAUUGAAGAAGCCUGAGCCAUCAAUUCCAAAGGGGACUGAUCAGAAUGUGAAUGCCCAAAUAAGCAAUGGUAAUGAUAUGCAGAUGAGACAAGAAGAACUAGAUGAUAAAACUGGAAACUUGACUUUGCUUGAACGUUCUGACAAAGCAGUGGGCAAAAAGGAUGAGGAAUUUGGAGAUCUGAACGUCACUGUCCCAAAUGAUGGAUUGGACCAAUACGAGCAGAGAAAUUUGGAAUCACAUCAAGAGCAAACUGAUUCCAGUCAUCAUUCAGAUUUAAAUUCAGCUGAUUCUAGAGUCAAGUUGUCUGUUGAAGCUGCACUACAGGGAAAACCACAAAGAUUAGACCGAUCUGGGAAACAAACUUCAAAAUCUACUGGAGAAGUGACUGCUUUUGAGAAUUCUGGAGAUAACAGAAGCACUGUUGAAUUAGAAAAUCUUCUAGUUGUGACGAACUUUCAGGAAAGCGAAGAUGCUGAUUGGACUAGGGCAGAGGAUUUGGUUAAGACUGGAGAUAGGGCAGAUGUGGAACUAAUAAGCUGUAGUACCAGAGGCUUUGUUGCAUCUUUUGGUUCCUUGGUAGGAUUUCUGCCAUAUCGCAAUCUUUCUGCCAAGUGGAAGUUCUUUGCUUUUGAGUCUUGGCUGAGACGAAAGGGCUUGGAUCCAUCAAUGUACAAGCAAAACUUAAGCGUUAUUACAAGUUAUGAUGCUGAAAAGAAGUAUUUCCCUCUUAAUUCUCCUCAAGACAUGAAGAUUGAUAGUAUACUUGAAGGGAAGAUUUCACCAGAUAUGAAAUUGGAAGAUCUGUUGAGGAUUUAUGACCAAGAGAAAAUUAGGUUCUUGUCAUCAUUUAUUGGCCAGAAAGUUAAAGUCAAUAUAGUAUCGGCAGACAGGAAAUUAAGGAAGCUCAUAUUGUCAGUCAGACCAAAAGAGAAGGAAGAGUUUGUUCAGAAGAAGAGAAAUCUCAUGGCUAGGCUUCAAGUUGGUGAUAUAGUAAAAUGUAGCGUCCAGAAAAUAACUUACUUUGGCAUUUUUGUUGAGGUUGAAGGAGUUCCUGCGCUCAUUCAUCAGACAGAAGUAUCAUGGGAUGCGACUUUAGACCCAGCAUCAUAUUUUAAGAUUGGUCAGGUUGUAGAGGCAAAAGUUCACCAACUAGACUUUGCGCAUGAACGCAUAUUUUUGUCAUUAAAGGAGAUCAUGCCUGAUCCGUUGUUGAAGUCGUUGGAGUCUGUAGUUGGGGAUCAUGACCCCAUAGAUGAGAGAUUGGAAGCAGCUGAAAGUGAUGCAGAGUGGUCUGAAGUUGAAUCUCUUAUCCAGGAAUUGCAGCAGAUUGAUGGUAUCCAAUCUGCUGCAAAAGGUCGCUUUUUCAGAAGCCCUGGUUUAGCUCCAACAUUUCAGGUUUAUAUGGCUUCCAUGUUUGAGAAUCAGUACAAGCUGCUUGCUCGAUCUGGAAAUAGAAUACAAGAGGUGAUGGUUCAAACAUCAUUGGAUAAAGAAAAGAUGAAAUCAGCAAUUCUGACAUGUACGAAUAGAGUAGAAUAAUGGAGAUUGCACGAACAGAUGUGGAGCAUUUGUGGUAGUUAAUUAUGCAAAAGGCUGCAGGAGGAAGUAGACUAGAAAGUAGAAAAAGGAGUAUAUGCUAUAUGAGGAGGGUCAGAAUCUUAUUGCUAAUGGAAGCAGAUUUUGAAUUUGGUAAAUUCAUUUGUUUAUAUUUUUUAACAAUAUGUGUUGUCAUUGUUAAUUGUUGAAGAAAGACUAGAGUCCUAAGCUGAGUUUUAUGUU